rnacentral:rRNA from 1 species
CAGUCGCCACGGUAAAACGUAGGUGGCAAGCGUUGUCCGGAAUUAUUGGGCGUAAAGGGCUCGCAGGCGGUUUCUUAAGUCUGAUGUGAAAGCCCCCGGCUCAACCGGGGAGGGUCAUUGGAAACUGGGAAACUUGAGUGCAGAAGAGGAGAGUGGAAUUCCACGUGUAGCGGUGAAAUGCGUAGAUAUAUGGAGGAACACCAGUGGCGAAGGCGACUCUCUGGUCUGUAACUGACGCUGAGGCGCGAAAGCGUGGGGAGCAAACAGGAUUAGAUACCCCCGUAGUCCCUGUCUCUUAUAC